rnacentral:lncRNA from 1 species
UACGUACACCGUAUGUACACGCAUUGCAUGAAUGCAAUGAGUUGAUUUUGCUCACAAAAGGGACCUUGUAUUUUUCUGAAUGUUUCUGCAGGAGGCCGUGAACGUGUCCCUCGCCAACCUCAAGACUUACCCCUUCGUCAAGGAACGGCUGGCCAAAGGGACCCUCAAGCUGGUCGGCGCCCACUACGACUUCGUGUCCGGGAAGUUCCUCACAUGGGAGCCUGUAGGGUUCAUAACCUUCAUCCUUACAUUUUCAAUUGUACAUACUGUAUCUGAGACCACAUGGUUUUACCUCCUGGCACACUCCAGAUCCAAACUUCCUAUCCAUUUUCUCUCCUUCCUUGCCAUCGCAAUUAAUUUCUUUCUAAGAAGAACAAAAUCACCACCAAAUCCAACCACAACACUUGAAAUCCGCCCCAUGCAUAGCACUUGAAACCAGCCCCAACAUCUUAAUUGACCUACUUCUCAUCUUCUUCGGAUAUAAGAAGAUUGAACCCUAUCUCCACCGCAAAUACAUAUAUCGCGUUCACCCGCUACAAACUUCUAGUCCAGUUGUCGCCUGGUCCUCUAUCCGCUUCAAUUAGGCUUGCCGUUGCAUCGAAUUUCUAACCUCGUUGGUGCACCAGGCUCGUCUGUGGUGAUGGAUAUGAGGCCAUGGCCAUCGAGGUCCAUCUACCACAAAGAUGCCACUGCCUUUUUCCAUGGCCACCAUGGUUUGCCGAAUCAGUUGUCCCCCGAGGAAGCAAUCAUCAUGUUGGAGUCGUUCUUCUCUACAAAACGUGCUCAAGUAGCCAUCGACAUUCCGCUUAAGCGAUAUAUAUUGUCCACAAAAGCUGUGCUUGACCGUUACUCAUUUUUCAUCAAAUCCCGCGUUGUGCGGUGUCUCUUUCUCUCACUAAAACGAUUGCACAUGUCAUCAUGUUGAUGUUGCUAGUAAUCUAGACAAUGGGGCAGCUCAAAAGGUGAACGAGAGAGAUAUAGAGAGAAAGGGAGGGAGGGAGGGCCACACCGCAUCUAUCCAUCUGACUAUAAGGGGGCAAAAGAAGAAAAGAGGAGAAGAUGAGAAGUUGCAUUUGCCUCCCUGUUAUAUAUCAAAGGAGGGUCAAUGAAGCCGUCCAUAGAUUCCCACACCUCGUCACUCCUUGAGAACCAGAAGCCCACCCCAUCCAGUCCAAGGUCCGUUCCCUCAUCCUCCUCCCUCACCCUCGCCAUCAUCCUUCACAUAGCACACACAGUAAUCUUUGUCCGUCCCUCUGUUUUCUUUUCCUCUAUUGCCAUCAUGAGCCUGCAACUUCUGCUUUCUCCCUAUGUUGUAUUGUGUUGGUGCAAAGAAGAUCCAUCUUCCCCUUUUUGAUCAUAUUUUAUGCAUGCUUUCCUUAUGGUCCGUGGCAAGGAGGCCAAGCAUUGGCAUCAUGCCCCUUCUAUCUCUCUCUACCCCCUCAUGCCCCUUCUCUUUCUCUCUCUACCCCCGUCAUGCUGCAUCACGAUCAUGAGUAUGCAAGUUGGUCUUUCCGGGAUGGCAAAAUGACCGAUGGUUUUCUGGUUGUUGGUCUUGUAGGUGAUGGACGCCGUUGACCGCUUGAAGAGCGGGUUCGAGCAGUUCAAGAUCGAGGUCUAUGAGUAAGUCAUCUCUCUACUUAGAGCUGUUGUUUUUUUAAUUUGUAGCACCCAUGUUUGGUUUAAUAUUUUCAGUUUCAACCACUUGAUUUAUUUUGGGAAUUCUGAGAGCUCCGACUGAUACUGCCAUGUUGUCUUUUUUCUGCAGCAAGAAGCCAGAGCUUUUUGAGCCUCUCAAAUCUGGCCAGGCCCCCAGGGUAUGUGUAGGGAUGAAAAUGGAUCAAAUUUGUAUAGAAUCAAAUCCAUAUAUCACCUCUUAACACAUUUUUAUUCAAAUUCAGUUAUUGGAUACAUAUACUUUUGAAUACAAAUAUAAAACAAAUGUCUUGAAUCUGUAUUUCUAUUCAAAGAUUUACUCAAUUCAACUCAAAUUGUAUAUUGCUAAAUUCAACGUACAUGUAUACAAUUUUACUACUAAAUUCAUCGAUAAACCUUUUUUGCUUUAUCAAUUUUUUAGGUUUACAAACUAUUAUAUUGAAACAUUUGUGUAUAUAAUUUAAAAUGAAUGGUGACAGCUUGUCGCCAUUAGCGGCCAAUUGGCAAGUACUAGUAGUAGUCUGUUGGAUAUAAUCCCUCCAUCCUAAAUAUAUGCAGAAAUCAUCUAUUGAGGAGUAAUUCUUUUUUUCAGUUUAACUAAAAGUAUAAUUUAUUUCGAAAAAAUACUAAAUGCUCAAUCUAAUGAUAUUUAUUAUACACUAUAAACAUUAAUAUAUUUUUAAUAUAAAUAUAAUUAAAAUUUAAAAAUUUGAAGUUUCAUAAAGCGAGAUGUACAGUUAUUUUGGGACAAAAGAAAUAGUCCUAUAAUUAUUUUGUACUACAAAAGUCUGCUCCAUAGGGCACAAGCUUCAACUUUGGCACUACUAGUCAUAGGCUCAUUGCGCAAAGAAAUGGUGGUGGGAGUGGGAUACAUACAUGCUCCUUCUUUUCCCGAUCGAUCGACCUGAUGCUGAUUAUUUUCCUCUGCUGCAUGCAUGCAGUACAUGGUGUUCGCCUGCGCUGACUCCCGUGUGUGCCCGUCGGUGACCCUGGGCCUGAUGCCCGGCGAGGCCUUCACCGUCCGCAACAUCGCCGCCCUGGUCCCAGGCUACGACAAGGUACGUACACACUGACCGUCGUCGCCGACGACACAAAAUGGCCGUCUAUUUCUCCUCGGCCCGGCCGGCCGCCGCCGGCCGGGCAUGACAGAGGAUCGAGGACUGACACGGCCGCGCCUUUCGUAUUCGUCACCUGCAGACCAAGUACACCGGCAUCGGGUCCGCCAUCGAGUACGCCGUGUGCGCCCUCAAGGUGCAGGUGCUCGUCGUCAUUGGCCAUAGCUGCUGCGGUGGCAUCAGGGCGCUCCUCUCCCUCCAGGACGGUGCACCUGACAACUUGUAAGACGCCACCGUAAAAUAUACAAAGUUUCAUUAAGAUAAAACAAAAAUUCUUUUGUACCUCUAUGAUGAUUUUGAUCCCAGCGCAUUUUUAUCUGUUGUUUUUUUUGUGGUGUAUCCAGCCACUUUGUUGAGGACUGGGUCAAGAUUGGCUUCCCUGCCAAGAUGAAGGUGAAGAAAGAGAACGCUUCGGUGCCGUUCGAUGACCAAUGCUACAUUCUAGAGAAGGUAUGUACACCGUACAUGCACGAGCAGUUAGUUGCUGCAUGAAUGGAUUAAUUUUUGCUCACCGGAGAACCUUGUAUUUCUGAAAAUGUUUCUGCAGGAGGCCGUGAAUGUGUCCUUGGAGAACCUCAAGACCUACCCAUUCGUCAAGGAAGGGCUGGCCAACGGUACCUUAAAGCUGGUCGGCGGCCACUAUGACUUCGUGAAAGGAGAGUUCCUCACAUGGAAAGUCUAGAGCUAAGGCACCCGGACGGCCCAACUCCUACAUCAUCAUAAAUUUAUACCACAUAUAUACCUACCGAUAUGCACCCGAUCGAUGCGAAUGCGCGGAGUACUACAUGCAUGUUUUCAGCAACUACAUAUAUACAUACCGGAUCGCCCCAAUGUGAAUGUAAUAAGCAAUAGCAUUUUCAACCGCUUUCAUUUCUAACGCCGAGCUUUUAUGUACUAUAUAUAUAAUAUGAUGCAUAAUUGACCGGCUUGUGGUCAAAAGACAUCAACUAUAAUCCUUUUUUCAUAAUAUUGUUAUGAAGAGUUUACCUCUUUUUUUUGUCAUUAACGGAUCCAGAGAAACAGGCCAGGAGGGCAACACGCCAACACCCUCCGUCCUAAAAUAGAGUGCAUUCUGACAUUUAAGAUGUGUCCCAAAAUAUAGUACAUUCAAGGAACAUGAAGAUAAUAUUUACUUAAAUAAAGUUACGGAAGAGGAAAGUAAUUGAGUGCUUACUAUAUUUUCUAUAAGAAAACUUAGAUUGCAACCUUUAAUCAUACGAAUAAGAUCAUAUUUCAAUAUAUUAGAAAGUUAAGUGAGUAGUACAUGCGUCUAUUGUUUUUUCUCUCUCUCUCUUAUUUUGUCUUAAAUAGCCAUAACGCACUGUAUUGCAGAGCGGAGGGAGUACUUUGGAAGCAUCAAGAGCAAAAUCCAAGGAUGGAAAGCCCCAUAUGAACAACUAAGAUGAUAACUAGAAAUCAUACUCGCCAUACACGAGUACUUUGGAAGCAAGAAGAGCAAAAAUCCAAGGAUAGAAAGCCCCAUAUAAACAACUAAGAUGAUAACCAGAAUUCAUACUCGCCAUACACCAAUAGAUCUAACAAACAGCACUCAAUUCAAAAUGCUUAAUUAGACAAUACAUCAUUAAUGAUAGAAAGGUACUUAAUAAAUAGCUUCCGAUAAUUAAAUGAUCAAAUAUGUUUCACAAUUUCACACCACUUGAACAAGCAUCCUCCAAUCUACAUACAAAAUAAAAUAUCAUGGUUCUUCAAACAACAUGAUAAUAUUAUGGAUUGAAAUGAACUUAUACAACACACACCUUGGUCCCUUGUGUGGCAAAUUUAUCUACAAAUUCUUAAGACCUGUAAGCGGUUACACACUGUCCACACAUGUUCUACGCUUUAAUCAAUUUGAUUGGUUAUCAAACCAUUAUUGAACAAAACCUCUUGAUUAACUUUUAGUUUUACUCUCUUUUGUUGUUCUUUUAGUUUUACCCUCUUUCGUCUAGAGACGACGACUCCUUUCCCUAUUUCUCGCGAGGAUUCCUCUAUUAGGGGACAGAGAUAAGACCAAAUUAACCCCCAUAGGUAACUAAACAGAACCAAAUCUAUCCACUUGUAUCUACUGGGGCUGGGGCCGGGAAGCUUUCCUCGUACCUGCUCCUUGUCAAGCCCUCUUUAGCCGACUCUUCAUCUAGCUAUCAAUCUGACACAAUUGCAUCCAUCCAUCUUUGAUUCUUAUCUUAUACUAGAUAAUGGCUCGUGUAUUGUUGUGCACACACAAAAUUUUAAUCGAAUAACUUUUUUUACCAAAAUGAACUAAAAUAAACUUUUAUAUAGGUAUAAAAUUUAAAUUCAGCAUGACAUAGAAUUACCUAUAUUUCAAGUUUUGAGAUCCUUUGCAAUUGAAAAAAAAGGUAUUACACUUUAAUAAACCGUACGUAUCCACAUAUUGUGUUUUGGUGGGGUUCGAAGCAGAAUCCAUGGUGACCUUUGUGUUACAAGCAUUUUAACACCGACCUAGAUAUCAAAAAUCAAGUCCAAAAUAGUAAAAUUGACCAUAACAGUUGGAAUAAAAACGCAGCUUUAGCUUGAAAUAACUUGCAGGUAUUCAUGAUCAGAUUGAUCAAGAUAUUCAUGAUCAAGGAACGCACAAGGAAAAUGCUGAGUACAACCAAACUUGUACAGUUGUACUUAAGUAACAAUGACCUAUACAAUUGACUUAUACCAUUGACUUUUACCUGUACAGUUGCAAUCAAGUAUGGUACUUAUUUGAAAACAUAGCAAUCCAUUUCAAUGUAAAUGUAUUGAACCUUGAAAAAUAAUUUCGAGGAUUACAUAGUACAACAUAGACGUCUACAACAUGCACGCAUACUCACACUAAUGAAUACACAUACGCAAACCAUACUCAUAUGAGCAUCUCCGAAGAAUUAAGCUGACAGAUCAUCUCGAGAUUCACAAAGUCAUUAAAGGCGUCUCGUUCUCGACGGGGACGUCACCUACCACUGGAAACAUAGCGUCGUUAAAUCUUGAAAUAAAUUUAGAAAAACAUGAGCACCCAUGCUAAGUCGACGAGGUGUUUGGGACUGCUCUGCUCCACUUUUUUCAGCUCCGCUCCACGUUUUUUAGCCAAACGGUUUCAGCUCCACGCACUGAGUUCGAGAAAAAAAAGUGGAGUUGUGAGAGCACCUAAAGAGGUACUCCACGAACUCCAGUUUUUUGUAGAGCUACUUCAUAGUGGAGUUUGUGAAGCAGAGUUCGUGGAGCAGUGCCAAACACCCCCUUAAACCUAGAUGGACAAGUUAACGUGAAAAAAUAGUUUAAUUUGCACUCCAGUCUUAUAGAUUUUUUUUGCGAGGACCAAUCUUAUAGAUCUAUAGUAAUUGAUUUUAUCUAGACAAUGUCUAAUAUUGCCACGUAGAACAAAUUAGCACCACCAGCAGAGAAACUUUAGAAAGAAGAUAUAUAAAUCAUAAGUUAUUCUAACUUUUUAAGUCAAAGCAUAUUAGUUGACCAAUUUUAUAGAAAAAUCUUAAAAGUUUUAUGAUAUUAAAUAGGUAUAUUAUAAAAAUAUAAUUAAUAAAAAUUUUAAUAAUACUUAUUUAAUAUUAUAAAGGUUUUAUAUUAUAUAAUAAAUUUUGUUAGAUUUGAGGUGAGUUGGAAUAAGUUAUAAUUUAGAAUGGAUAUUGUAGCUAGUAGAAGUACUCCCUCUAUUCUUGAAAGAUACAAUUUCUAGAGUUGUCUUAAAUCAAACUUUUAAAACUUUAACCGAAUUUCUAGAAAAAAGGUUAAGAUUUAUAGUAGUAAAUUGAUACCAUUAGAUCUAUCAUAGAAUAUAUUUUUAUAAAAUACUUAUUUUAUGAUAUAAAUAUUGAUGCUUUUUUGUAAAGAUCAUUAAAUUUUAAAAAAAUUAACCAACACGAAUUCUAGAAGUUGAAACUUUCAAUAAGGUCUUGUUUAGUUCACCCCAAAAACCAAAAUCUUUUCAAGAUUCCCCGUCACAUCGAAUCUUAUGGUACAUGCAUGGAGUAUUAAAUAUAGAUAAAAAUAAAAACUAAUUGUACAGUUUACCUGUAAAUCACGAGAUGAAUCUUUUAAGCCUAGUUACUCUACGAUUGGAUAAUGUUUGUCAAAUAAAAACGAAAAUACUACAGUUCCGAAAAUUUUUCAGUUUUCGAAACUAAACAAGGGCUAAAGAGUAGUGUUUAUGACAAAAGGAAAAAAAAAAAGAUCGGCACUUGGCACCCGGCCACCCGCCCUCCACCCUAGGCCCGACGCGACCCGACCCCCACCUAGACCGGUCUCGGUCGGACUCUCGGCGUCUCUCGCCACGCGCGGGCGCGCCGCAAACAGUCCUCCGCCCGCCGUCGUACCACCCCCACCCGUGCUUCCUCCGUCGGUUGGCUGCAACAAGUCGGCAGCGCCGCGCCCGCCUCCCGACGCCCCAAGCCCCCAAUCGCUCCUCCUCCAUUUCCCACCCAUCCAGAAGUCCGCCGGCGCAGAGGGACCAGGGUUCGCCGCCAGCAGAUGCAGUUGCAGGAGCAGGGUUCGCCGCCAGCGCCAGUAGACGCAGGAGCUCGGCGGAUCCACAUCGGAGGCGAGCUGAUCCUCUACAGAAGGUGCCCCGCUGCUCCUCCCGUAGUCCUGCUGCUCCCGUAUUUGAUUAAUUUCUCCGGCUGCGAAUCGACUCAUGGGGGAAGAAACAGUUUUAGACGACAACGCCCUGGCUUUCUCGGCGGGUACGUAAUCCCCGUCCAGGGACGGGGAUGGGGAUGGGGUGAAAGUGAAAAACCCUCCCCUGCGAGGUUUUACGGGGACGAGGACGGGGAUGGGGAAGCGUUCCCCGACGGCGAAUUUCCCGUUGCCAUCCGCUCGUCUGUGAUGCUGGAUACGACGAGGCCAUGGCCAUCGAGGCCCAUCUACCACAACGACGACGGCACUGCCUUUCUUCCAUGGCCACCCGUGGUUUCGCUGAAUCAGUGGUCCCAAACUGUCAUUUUGGAGUCGUUAUUUCUCCUCCUCCAAAACGCGAGGAGUAGCCAUCGACAUUCCGCUCGCUCAGGCGUUUAAUUUUGUCCACAAAAGCCGGGAUCAGCCGUUACUGGGCGUCUCUUUCUCUCGCUGAAACGAUUGCACGUGUCCUGUUGCUAGUAAUAAACUGGACAACGAGCGGGGCAGCUCAACAAGAGGCACAGCCAAACGAGAGAGAGAGAGAGGAGAGGAGAAAGGGAGGGAGGGCCGCCGCGCAUCCAUCCGUCCGGAGAUAAGAGGGGAGUGGAAGAAAAGAGGAGAAGAUGAGCAGCUGACUUUGCCUCCCCCGUUAUAAAAGGGAGGAGGGGGCAGGGAGGAAGCCGUCCAUAGAUUCCUCCGCCUCGUCACUCCACUCCUUGAGAUUUGAGAACCACAAGGGCCACCCCCCACCCACCCUCCAAGGUCCGUCCCCUCCUCCUCCUCCUCCUCCCUCACCUUCAGCACCAUCCUCUCCAUUCCUCCACACAGCAAUAUCUGUCAAUCCCCCCCGUUUUGUUUUCCUCUGUUGCAAUCAGUAGCGUGUACCCUGUAGCUGUAGCUUCCACUUUCUUGCUGUGUCGUACUGUGAUGGUGCAAAGAAGAUUCCUGUUCCCCCUUUUAGAUCACCUUUGUGCAUGCCUUUUCUUGUGGUCCGUGGGCAAGGAAGGAGGCCGAAAAUUGCAUCAAUGCCCCUCCCUUCUCUCUCUGUCUAUACCCCCUCAUACUGCAUCACGAUCAAGAGCAUGUAUGCAAGUUGGUCUUUCUAGGGAUGGCGAACUGACCGGCGAUUUUCUGGUUAUUCGUCCUGCAGGACAUGGCGGACGCCGUCGACCGCUUGAAGACCGGGUUCAACAAGUUCAAGACCGAGGUCUAUGAGUAAGUCAUCUCUCUACUCGAUCAGAGAGCUGUUGCUUUCUGCAGCCCCGGCGUUUGGUUUAAUCGUUUCAGUUUCAACCCCAUGGUGCUUGCUUUUUUUUUUGGGGGGAACUCUGAGAGCUCCGACUGAUCCUGUGCCUGCUUGAUUUUUGUUUUUUUCGCAGCAAGAAGCCGGAGCUGUUCGAGCCUCUCAAGGCCGGCCAGUCCCCCAAGGUAUGUGCUACUGCCAUACUUCGCUCUCUUCUCACCUCCCUUGUACGCCGCUAAGUUUUUCGUCUCUAGCGACUCCGGCCGGCCAGUUUUCGGUUAUCUGUCGUACUCGUAGGUGCUGCUGCUCCCGUGAUCCUCAGCACAGAUCCUGGAUGGUUAAUUAGACAAAACCGUGUUCAGUAAAUUCGGAUUUUCCGUGGGCCUCUGGGCAACGUCCGACUGGCCCACAGAUUUGGUGCUACUCUUGCUUGCUGGUUGCCCAUCUGCCUCAGAGAACCGCGUCGCUGCUAGUACUAGGCUCUGUAGCUCAUCAGUAUCCCUGCAUUGCAAUGCACUAUUCAUCGUCCACCCUGUCGUGUCCCUGGGUGCGCACGCAGCCACGCCGGUAAGGUGAGGUCAAAGUUGCAGUAGACAAAAGGAAACCUUUGUGCCGGUACCGAGGUCAAAGUUGCAGUAGACAAAAGGAAACGGAUUGUCCUAAUUGCACGGCUUAAAACUGAGGUGACAGCUUGUCGCCAUUAUAUUAGCGGCCAAUUGGCAAGUAGUUCUGUUUGGAUAUACUACAUAACUAGUCCUAUAAUUGCUUUGUGCAACAGUGCAAGUCUGCACCAUAGGGCACAAGCUUCAGCUUUGGCACUACCAGUCAUAGCGCAAAAGAAAUGGUGUAGUGGGAUAUACAUGCAUGCUUGCAAAGCAAAAUCCUUCACAGCUCCCACCGGCCACCACUGUGCCGGGCACUAACCCCAUGUGCGGCAUGCUAGCUGGUGAUUUGCAUUUGUUUGGUAAAUUAUUGAGAUGUCGCCGUCCCUAUAUAGGCUCACUUUGCAGAUGACGGAUAUAGUAGUACGUUAGUAUUAGUAUAUUGAUUUUCCUUCAGUUGACUAGUAUAAACCUGGUGCAAGAAUCUUGCAAGUACAGAGUUUAUUGUUUUAAUUUAUAGGAGUUUUGAGCUGGCAUCGAUCCCAUGCGCCUAAUUAGUAAAUACUUCAUGAAAUGCAUGCAUGCAUGGUAUAGCUAGCUGGUUCUACUGGUUUUUCCUACCCAUGAAAAUUACUAGUAGUCAAAUAUUCUUUGUAGUAAAGGAGAAGAUAAAAGCAGUCUAAUUUGGCGUACUCAGUCUGUGGAAAACAAAGAACUACUCUGCACAUUGUUUGAAUUAUAAUGGUCACUUCCACCUACUAGCCGUGUUGAAUUCUUUUUUUGAACAUAUGGUCACUUUCAUCAUUACAUUUGAAGGGGCAGCAACAGAUGGUGGUGACCAGCCAUUUCAGAUGUCUCAUCAUUUCGAUUUUUUUGUUUGACACUCACAUACACAACACAAACACAAAGAGACGUGAACCCCAAGUCUCCUUUACCUUAUAUGAUAGAACAGAAAUAAUGCAAGGGGAGCCAUGUACUAGAUAAGAACAGGUGUGUAUUAGCAUUCAUCAUUCCAUGGCUAAUGUGUGGUCCAGCCAUGAUUGAGCACAGGCCCCACCAUUCACCUCACGGGAUUCUUCUUUCUUCAUCGUCAGUAUAGAAGAGGAGUAGUUGGUUUGGACGUGUCCUCUCCCCUCUCCUCUCACACCCCUUGCAAAAAAGUUAGGCGCAUAAUUGUUGGGCAGCAGGGCCUAUUGGCGGUUGCUUUAGCAUUGAGAACACUGUGUAUUCGCAUCCAUAUCUCACUGGACAUGCCGAUCCUCGAGAAAAUAUGCUUUACUACACUACAGAUGUAUGUCUCAGAGUAUAUAUACACAAAAAAUAGUGGAAGAUGAUUGCAUUACGCCAUGGGUCCUAAUCACCUUUGUAUCCCCGGGUCCCUUUCCAAAUCAUGGCCUCCCAAGUCCCAAGUGUGAGCUAAUCCAAGCCAGAACAAAUAUUCCAGCGUCCUGCCUCCCGAAGACUCCUGAUGGCUGAUGCUGCUCUUUGCCGUCAAAUUAAAGCUUAAUCUGCACUAUUGAUUUGGACACCCACAUCCCAGGGCCACAUAAACCCGUCACAUGAAAUUCGUUAUCUGUUCAUUCACUUAUAUGCAUAUAUGCAGCCUCCCUUUUGCCUACCAACUUGGCCGGAAAUAUUCUUGCUUGGCAGCCGGGAAUAGGAUAGAUAAGCGUGUUUUUCCUUGGCCGCUGAUCUGCCCCGGGAGCACACGGAAACCAGCUUAGAAUAUCCUCGUCGCAACUUGUACUAGUAGCACGGAAGGAACCUUCCUGCAGCCUGGAUUUUGUCCAUCCUGCCCCUGUAAAAAAAAGAGCAUUGGAACAACAAAGACAGGCGGGUCAAAACUCACAAAAGCUGCCGCCUUUUGGCUUUGGUUGCCAGCUUGCAAAUCCACCACAGCCAGAAUCGUGUAGUACUCCACUGAUCAGGACCGAUCUGCCUACCUGCUUAUCGAUAAGAGCCGUGGGAACUGGACUGAAUUUUGCCGGCUCUCCCUCUUUUCACCGACCUCUGAUGGUGAUCUUCCUCUGCUAACACGCAGUACAUGGUGUUUGCGUGCUCCGACUCCCGUGUGUGCCCGUCGGUGACCCUGGGUCUGCAGCCCGGUGAGGCCUUCACCGUCCGCAACAUCGCCGCCAUGGUCCCAGCCUACGACAAGGUACGCGUCCACACUGACCGACGCAUUGGACGUCUAAUUUUUUCAAGCCCGGCCGCCGUGGAACAUUGACGGACGACUAACAUGGUUGCCUUUCGUUUUUGUCACCUGCAGACCAAGUACACCGGCAUUGGGUCUGCCAUUGAGUACGCCGUGUGCGCCCUCAAGGUGCAGGUCCUCGUCGUCAUUGGCCACAGCUGCUGUGGUGGCAUCAGGGCGCUCCUCUCCCUCCAGGAUGGCGCACCUGACACCUUGUAAGUCAUCAUCCCUAGAAUAUAUACAAAUUUCAUUUAGGUUAAGAAACAAGACUCGUGUGCCUCGAUCGAUCUCGUGUCAUGAAUUUGAUCCUAGCAUUGUUGUCCGUUUGUUUGGUGGUGUAUGUACGCAGCCACUUCGUUGAGGACUGGGUCAGGAUCGGCUUCCCUGCCAAGAUCAAGGUGAAGAAAGAGCACGCUUCGGUGCCGUUCGAUGACCAGUGUUCCAUCCUGGAGAAGGUACGUACACCGUACACGCACGAGCUGUUAGUUAUUGGAUGAAUAAUGGAUUGGUUUUGCUCACCAAAGGACCUUGUAUUUUCUGAAUAUUUGUGCAGGAGGCCGUGAACGUGUCCCUCGACAACCUCAAGACGUACCCCUUCGUCAAGGAAGGGCUGGCCAACGGGACCCUCAGGCUGGUCGGCGGCCACUACAACUUCGUGUCAGGGGAGUUCGACACAUGGGAAAUUAAGAGCUAAGCUGCCCGGCCGGCCGCUUAACAACUCCUACCAUCAUCAUAAAUAUAUAUACUACAUACCUACCGAUAUGCACCCGAUCGAUGUGAAUGCGUGGAGUAUUACUCAUGUUUUCUGCAUGCAGCGACAUAUAUAUAUAUAUACCGGAUCGCCCAAUGUGAAUGUAAUAAGUAAUAGCAUUUUCUACCGCUUUUAUUUCUAACGCCGAGCUUUCAUGUACUAUAUAAUGUGUUAUAUGAUGAGUAAUUUGACCGCCCUGUGGUCAAAAGACAUCAGCUAUAAUCCUUUUUUCGCAAUAUUUAUUAUGAAGCGUUUACCUCUUGUACUGCCUUUACUGUUCAUCUUUUCUGUCUCUCUAUGAAAUGCUGAUAUAUGACACCAUUUAUGUGAG